rnacentral:rRNA from 1 species
GAUGAACGCUGGCGGCGUGCUUAACACAUGCAAGUCGAACGGAAGGGCGAGAAGCUUGCUGGUCUGAUGUUAGCGGCGGGCGGGUGAGUCACAUGAGGAUACCCUACCUAUAAGUCUGGGAUAACUACGGGAAACCGGAUAUAACACCGGAGAAUAUUUUGAACCGCGGGGUUCGAAAGUGAAAGACGGUCUUGCUGGCACUAAUAGCUGGAUCCGGGCUGGAUUAGCGAGUUGGUAGGGUAACGGCUUACCAAGGGUACGAUGCAUAGCCGACCGGAGAGGGGGAUGGCCCACACUGGAGCUGACCCACGCCCCAGACCCCUAGGGGAGGCACCAGUAGGUAAGCUGGCGCAAUGGCGAAAGCCUGACGCAGCAACGCCGCGUGAGUGAUGAAGGCCUUCGGAUCGUAAAACGCUGUUAUUAGGGAAGAACAGAUGUGGAAUUAACUGUGCAGAGCUUGACGGUACCGGAUCAGAAAGCCACGGCUAACUACGUG